rnacentral:rRNA from 1 species
CUACGGGAUGCUCCAGUGGGGAAUAUUGCACAAUGGGCGCAAGCCUGAUGCAGCCAUGCCGCGUGUAUGAAGAAGGCCUUCGGGUUGUAAAGUACUUUCAGCGGGGAGGAAGGGAGUAAAGUUAAUACCUUUGCUCAUUGACGUUACCCGCAGAAGAAGCACCGGCUAACUCCGUGCCAGCAGCCGCGGUAAUACGGAGGGUGCAAGCGUUAAUCGGAAUUACUGGGCGUAAAGCGCACGCAGGCGGUUUGUUAAGCCAGAUGUGAAAUCCCCGGGCUCAACCUGGGAACUGCAUCUGAUACUGGCAAGCUUGAGUCUCGUAGGGGGGGGUAGAAUUCCAGGUGUAGCGGUGAAAUGCGUAGAGAUCUGGAGGAAUACCGGUGGCGAAGGCGGCCCCCUGGACGAAGACUGACGCUCAGGUGCGAAAGCGUGGGGAGCAAACAGGAUUAGAUACCCGAGUAGUC